AAAAGGAAAAAGCGAAACAUAGAAUGCAUUUAUAUUAGAUCCCUCUAAACUUUUAUUUAGAAAAGAUAAAUUUCUCUCCGGACUUGUUAAUCUGACUCUAAAGUUUCUUACGCCGGAAGGGAAAGGUGGCCCGAAGUGUGUCAGAUGACCGCCAGUCCUUUCCCAUAUCCCGCCAGGCUUCACCUUUCUCUUAACUUUGAUUCAGGAGCUGCGAGAUGACGCCAGCGUUUUGCGCCAACAGCAUUCCUGGUCGCGCAAUUGAGUUCUUGGUUGGAAAGGUAGCGUUCUCUUUUUACACAGCUGUUAGCUCCUCUCGUUAGCUGUCACUUUGUUCUGUUCCUCUGAGCAGAGCAUACGUUCCUACAGAAUGUUCACAGCUCCAAGAGGAAUUGGUGCACUCAAUUAUGGAGGCUGAAAAGUCCUACAAUGUGCAUUCUGCAAGUUCGACACCCUGGAAAACCUGUGGUGUAAUUCAGUCUGAGUCUGAAGGCCUGAGAACCAGGGGAGCUGAUGGUGUAAAUCCAGUCUAAGUACAGGAGAAGAAUGACGUACCAGCUGAGCAGGCAGUACAGUCCUGUGGUCAGAGAAAUCUCUAGGAUGGAAACAAAGAAGAUUUUAGAGGUAAGGAAGAGCAAACAGGUGAGACAUUGAACCUGGCCUACAUUCCCCACCAUGUGUCGGAGAAAUCAGAACCGAAGGGCCCUGUCAUACCUGUUCCAUCUGGUCAAUAAUGGUUGCGACCUCACAGAAACGGAAGGGAGAAAUCAGGGGAAGAGCAGACACUGCACUCAUCCCUAAAUUUCCCACAGUCCUCAGCAGGGCACAAGAGAACAGUCAGAUCUUUUCUGUGCUCAUGAGAAGGGUAGAAUGGGUAGAGCAAUUCAGAAAAUUCAAGUAACGUGAGGAAAUAGAGGGACCUGUGAGAAGCUGACACCUGGGGCCAUGCCAGGACUUGGAUUCAGACGAGGCCCCUAGGACUAUGGAGAUGGAGGUCAAAGAUAUCUGGAAACAAUUAUGGGAUGAAUUAUAUAUGCAUUCCUGGAGAUUAGCAUCAGCCCCAGGAAAAGAGGAAUGGGGACAAAGAGACUAUGAUUGCUUUUUAAAAUGAGGUCUUUGAAAAUCACUCAGUUGGACUAGUUUACUACAUUUGGCAGCAUGGGGCCUGAGAGUCAAAAAAUUAAGUUAAAGGAAACUAAAACAAGCUACAUUUUUGCAAAAAUACAUUUUGGGGGAUAUCAUAACUUUCUGAAGAAUCUGAAAUGUAUACUUGCUGCACACCUCUUUUACAAAUUCAGUGCGCUGGAGGCAUUUCUUCACUAUCUUUUCCCCACAAAUGUUGCUCCUGCUUCCUCCUGCACAGCAUCUCUUGGAUGUGAUGUUUCAAUCUUUGCUGCCAGUUAAUUAUGCAAAUUCCAGUAAUGUCUCACUUACAUUAUUAUAACAUCUUUCCUAGUGUUACUGCCUUGUUUUAUUCUUAUUUUGAUAAGUUUUAUGAUCUCGUAACUCUUUUUCUUACAGUAGCAUGUACUGUCUUAAUUCAUUCUUUGAUUAGGCCUCUCUAACUUUCCGUGUCGUACUAUUCAGCAUGAUAUGAAGACCAAGGAUAUAUUAUAUCCUAGUAUAAUUUAUUUAUGAUUAACUUUCAUUCUUCUAAUCAUUGAACCACUUGUUUCUUUUGCUUGGAAUAAUGUUUAUGUCCUUAGGUUUACAUUUUGAGACUUGCAGAACUUGAUGAACUAAACUAAUGCAGAUCAUCCUCAAAAAAACUAGAUAAAAUAUUUAAAAUAAUUUAAAAUGCAAUAAUAUUUUCAAUGAAAGAAAAGAUAAUCUAUAAGCGCCAGGAAUUGAGAGAAAUAAAAGGCAAAGUUUUAAAUGGAAACUGAGCCAGUCAGAGCUCACAUAGGUUCUGGGCUUGAUACAGACUCUAUGGAUGAGAAUUUUAAAUGCACAUAAGGAUGAGAGCCAUGUCAUUUGAUCCACAAGAGCUGGGGAGCACUGAGUAACCAGCUUAAAAAACAGUACUUUAAAGUAGUGCUCUCCUUGCAAAAAUGGGACUAGAAAUAUCCUGCCCACAAGCCUUGGGAAGCAGCCUAAAAAUCUGCUCUCUAUUUGGAGCUCUAAGUGGAAAAAACAAGCACUAGUAAGAAACUGAAAGCCCAGGUUUGUGCCACAUGGGGUCACAACUGCUAUUUCCUGAAUGAUAUGGGAAAUACAAGCUGAGAAAUUGGAAUAAAAGCUAGUCAAAGACCAUUAAAAUCUAUUGUAUUCUGUCAGAAAAAAGUACAAAAUUGAUCUGUCAGGAUAAUUUCACAACUCAGGGAAUGUAGAACUCUUAUGGAAAACACAAACCCAUUGAAGAUGAACUUACAAUCAAAAGUUAAAAACUACCUUAGCAAAUGAACCAUUAUGAGGGAGAGUAAGAAGGAAUAGCAAACAGGAGGAUCAACACUCUCAAGAAUAGAAAACAAUAAACAAUCUGAAAGUGAUUAUAAAGUAAGUUUAUUUAAAUUGUUUAAAAAGAUAAAGGUGGAGCAGAAACCAUAAUGAAACAAGAAAAUAUGAAAUAAAGUAUAAGAAGAUAAGUAUAAUAUAUGACAUAGUUCAAGAGAGAAAUUGUGGUUAAUUUGAGGAAAUCAUCUCCACAAAAUAAAGCUACAGCACAGAGAAAUAAAGGUAUGAAGAAUAAUAAAAAGCAGUUGACAGAGAUAAAGGAUAGAACAUGGAGGUUAAAUGUAUAAGUAAUGGGAAUCUUAGUGGUAAAAACAGAGAAAAUGGAAAAAUAACAAUAGUAAAAUAAUUUAUUUGUUGAGGAUUUACCAGAUGUAAAGAAGACAAGCUACCAAAUCCAAAUAGCAUAGAAUAAAAUCAAAUUCCCACCUAAAAGUAUCAGAGUGAAAUUAUAGAAUACAAAAGGCAAAAAAAUGUUAAAAGCAACUAGAGAGAAGGACUAAUUAUGUACAAAGUGUGAGGGAACAAACUAUCAUUCAAGUGUGAGGAAAAAAUUUAAAAACAUUUUCAGAUAAAUAAGGAUUGAGAGUAUACCAGACACCAUUGACUGAGAAAAGAAUUAUUAGAAGAAAUUUAAACCUGGAAGGAAGAAAGGGAAUGUGAGAAGCAAAUGGAAACAAAUAAGUUGGUGAAGAUGUGGUUCAACCCAAAUAAUGAAUUGACUAUGUAAAAAUGGAUAAAUUUUGGAGAGUUUAAAAAUAAGGUAGAAUUAAAAUACCAGAUAAAAAUAACAUGGAAGAUGGUAGAAGAAGAGUUCAGAGUUAAGUGUUUUUAUGGUUCUUGUAGAUGAUGGUGGUGGAUAAAGAUGUUUUUCUUAUGUUAAAUUUGUAUGCUAAGAUUUUUCAGUGUAACUACUAAAAGAAUAGAAAUAGAUGUGUAACAGAAAAUAGUAGAGGUGGAAAAAAAUAAAGAUUACCUGAUUAAUUUGAUUAAGCCAAUGAUCGAUAAAAGACAGAAAGGCUGAAAACAGAAAAAAAUCAGAGAAACUUAAAAACACAAAACAUAGUAGAAAUAAGCUAAAAUAGUUUACAUCAAGUCAAAAGUUUUAGAGUAAAAAUGACCCAUUUAAACAAAAACUCAAUUAAUAUGUUGAGUGCCUCAUGCCUGGAGUCAGAGCAUACCAAAUUGUCUUUGCUCUAGACUACAAAGAAAGUCCAAGCAAAUCAACAUCAUAACAUAAUAUUCUUUGACUAUAAUGUAAUAAAAUUAGAAGUCAAUAACAAAAAGAUAUUGCAGAUGUGAAGUCUGGUUUCCAGUAACUGAAGGAGCUGGUAUUGUACUAAAUAUCUUAUCAAUAAUAAUUACAAACUUUGAACAAAAAUAUUUUAAAAGUCUCUGAAGCUACUGGAAAUCAAUCAAAAGCAGGCAAAACUGGAGGAGAAUCCUCUCUUGAAAGAUAGGAAUGAUCACAAUUUAGAUUCGUGUGUAUAUUGCUUUUCCACUGAGGGCAUUCUCAAGACCUGUGGGCACAGUGUACAGUAAGUCCCCUACAUAUGAACGAGUUCCAUUCUGAGUGUGUGUUCAUAAGUCCAAUCUGUUCAUAAGUCCACAGAGUUAGUCUAGGUACCCAACUAACACAAUCAGCUAUAUAGUACUGUACUGUAAUAGGUUUAUAAUACUUUUCACACGUAUAAUAUGUACAAAAGCAAGCAAACACAAAAAAUAAAGAAAACAUUUUUAAUCUUACAGUACAGUGUCUUGAAAAGUACAGUAGUACAGUACAACAGCUGGCAUGCAGGGGCUGGCACGCACGCUUGCAUCUUUGAAAGUUCACAACUUGAAGAUUCGUAUGUAGGGGACUUACUGUAUAGGAUUUGAUCAGAAAAUCAGUCUUAUUGGCCUGAAGAGGCAGAGGAUAGGGGCUGCCAGAGUUGCUGGAAAUUGAAUAGGGAAUACAAGAAUUGAGGAGGCCUCAGAGGGAAAUCCUCAAAAUCUGUAUAAAUCCUUCUUAUAAAUGACCUUUCUAAAAUCUUUGGCUGUCCUUAAGCUGCACAUAUGUUAGGAUCUCAUCAAGUAGCUCAAGGAGAAAACAACAGCUGGAGAACUGAAAAGGAUGAACAGAUAGUUCAACAGCUGCUUCCCAGAAGAAGACAACGUUUGGAUGUUCAAUCCCAUUAGAUUACAGAGUCUUGGUAAAUAUUUCAGGAUUUUUACUGAAAGCCAAGAAGGAUUAUGCUUUAUGAAUCAAGACUACCUUCUAAGACUAAGGGAUUCACCUUUGGACUAAGUCAAAACUAUUCCACCAGUCGUUUAGCUACUUGCAAGAACAAAACUAACCAUUCUCCAGAGGAACAUAACAGAAUAAAGUCACUCUACAAUUAUUAUAAUGAGACAUAUGAAGAAACAGCAAAAGUGACCUACAGUUAAGAGAAAAAUCAGUCACUAGAAACAUAUCAACAGACAAUAUAGAUGUUGGAAUUUGCAGAAGGACUGUAAAAUGAUCAGCAGGAUAACUAUGUAAAAGAAGCAAUUUUAAAAGAUGGGUAUAAUAGAUGAUGAGAUAGGGAAUUUCAGGAGAAAUUGGAAACUAUCAAAAAGAAUCAAAUAGAAGUCCUAGAAGAAAAAAGUAUAGUAUCUGAAAUUGAAAGAUCCUUCAGAUGACAUUAACAGCAGAUUGGAAGCAAUAGCAAAGAUCUUGAGUGAACUUCAGAAACUGAAGCAUAGAGAGAGAGAAAGAACUGAGCCCCAGUGACUUAUGGGAUAAUGUCAAUCAGCCUUACAUACAUGUAAUCAGAGCCUCAGAAAGAAAAGAGAAUGAGAAGGAGACAGAUAAAUGUUUUUAUUUUUCUAUUUUUAUCAACUCUGAUUUUAAAAAUUCCUAGUAACCAUUACUCUGGGAGAUGGAUCGAAAAAGAUAUUGCUGCAAUUUAUGUCAAAGAGUGUUCUGCCUAUGUUUUCCUCUAAGAGUUUUAUAGAAUCAGGUCUUACAUUUAGGUCUUUAAUCCAUGUUGAGUUUAUUUUUGUGUAUGGUGUUAAAGAAUGUUCUAGUUUCAUUUUUUUUUACAGGUAGCUGUCCAGUUUCCCCAGAACCAUUUAUUAUAGAGACUGUCUUUUCUCCACUGUAUAGUCUUGCGUCUUCCAGACUAAUUGACCAUAGGUGCGUGGUUUUAUUUCUGAGCUUUCUAUCCUGUUCCAUUGAUCUAUAUUUCUGGGGGUUUUUUUGUGCCAGUACCAUACUGUUUUGAUGACCGUAUGGAGAUAAAAACAAAAAUAAACAAAUGGGACCUAAUUAAACUCAAAAGCUUUUGCACAGCAAAGGAAACCACAAACAAAAUGAAAAAACAACCCACAGAAUAGGAGAAAAUAUUCACAAAUGAUGCAAACGACAAGGGAUUAGUCUCCAAAAUUUACUGACAGCUCAUGUGGCUCAAUAUCAAAAAACAAAUAACCCAAUCAAAACAUGGGCAGAAGACCUAAAUAGACAUUUUUCCAAAGAAGACAUACAGAUGGUGAAGAGGCAUGUGAAAAAAUGCUCAACGUUGCUAAUAAUAAGAGAAAUGCAAAUCAAAACUACAAUGAGGUAUCACCUCACACUAGUCAGAAUGGCCAUUAUCAAAAAAUCUACAAACAGUAAAUGCUGGAGAGGGUGUGGAGAAAAGGGAACCCUCCUACACUGUUGGUGGGAAUGUAAAGUGGUACGGCCACUAUGGAGAACAGUAUGGAGGUUCCUUAAAAGACUAAAAAUAGAGCUAUCAUAUGAUCCAGCAAUCCCCCUCCUGGGUAUAUAUCUGGAGAAAAAUAUGGUUCGAAAUGAUACAUGCACCCCAAUGUUCAUAGCAGCACUAUUUACAGUAGCCAAGACAGGGAAACAACCUAAAUGUGUAUUGACAGAUGAAUGGAUAAAGAAGAUGUGGUGUAUAUAUACAAUGGAAUAUUACUCAGCCAUUAAAAAGAAUGAAAUAAUGCCAUUUACAGUGGAUGGACUUGGAGAUUAUCAUACUAAAUGAAGUAAGUCAGACAGAGAAAGACAAAUAACAUAUGAUGUCACUUAUAUGCGGAAUCUAAAAAAAAUGAUACAAGUGAACUUAUUUACAAAACAGAAACAGACUCACAGACUUAGAGAAUGAAUUUAUGGUUAUUGAGGGGAAGGGCAGGGUGGGGAGGGAUAGAUUGGGAGUUUGGGAUUGACAUGUAUCCACUGCUAUAUUUAAAAUAGAUAACCAACAAGGACGUACUGUAAAAAAAAACAAAACAAAAAACCCAAGUAACCAGUAAAUCCAGGACACUCAGAAGAUCCCAAGAAGGAUAAAUACAAAUAAAACUAUAUCUAUGAACAUCACAGGUAAACUGCUGAAAAUAAAAAAGUGAUGAUAAAAAUAUUCUGUCUUUGAUUGAGGUGGGAUUUUUCAAAACUCAUGAAACUGUAUACUUUAAACCUGUCUAUUUUACUUAUGUAUACCUCAGUUAAAAAAAAAUUUAUACACCCAAA